GCCUACGGGGCGCAGCAGUGGGGAAUAUUGCACAAUGGGGGAAACCCUGAUGCAGCGACGCCGCGUGAGUGAAGAAGUAUCUCGGUAUGUAAAGCUCUAUCAGCAGGAAAGAUAAUGACGGUACCUGACUAAGAAGCCCCGGCUAACUACGUGCCAGCAGCCGCGGUAAUACGUAGGGGGCAAGCGUUAUCCGGAUUUACUGGGUGUAAAGGGAGCGUAGACGGUAGCGCAAGUCUGGAGUGAAAUGCCGGGGCUCAACCCCGGAACUGCUUUGGAAACUGUGCGGCUCGAGUGCGGGAGAGGUA
rnacentral:rRNA from 1 species